AAAACUAGGACUGUGUGGUGUA
rnacentral:miRNA from 1 species